UUUGAUCUCAAAUCAGGUAGGACUACCCGCUGAACUUAAGCAUAUCAAUAAGCGGAGGAAAAGAAACUAACAAGGAUUCCCCUAGUAACUGCGAGUGAAGCGGGAAGAGCUCAAAUUUAAAAUCUGGCGUGCCUCUGGUCGUCCGAGUUGUA
rnacentral:rRNA from 1 species